rfam:Aphanomyces astaci strain APO3 cont1.1497, whole genome shotgun sequence.
GGGAAAAUAGCUCAAUGGUAGAGCAUCGGUUUCUUUUUCUUAACUCAAAGGUUGUGGGUUCGAUCCCCGGCUUCCCCA